AACGCUAGCUACAGGCUUAACACAUGCAAGUCGAGGGGAAACGACAUCGAAAGCUUGCUUUUGAUGGGCGUCGACCGGCGCACGGGUGAGUAACGCGUAUCCAACCUGCCCACCACUUGGGGAUAACCUUGCGAAAGUAAGACUAAUACCCAAUGACGUCUCUAGAAGACAUCUGAAAGAGAUUAAAGAUUUAUCGGUGAUGGAUGGGGAUGCGUCUGAUUAGCUUGUUGGCGGGGUAACGGCCCACCAAGGCGACGAUCAGUAGGGGUUCUGAGAGGAAGGUCCCCCACAUUGGAACUGAGACACGGUCCAAACUCCUACGGGAGGCAGCAGUGAGGAAUAUUGGUCAAUGGACGAGAGUCUGAACCAGCCAAGUAGCGUGCAGGAUGACGGCCCUAUGGGUUGUAAACUGCUUUUAUAAGGGAAUAAAGUGAGUCUCGUGAGACUUUUUGCAUGUACCUUAUGAAUAAGGACCGGCUAAUUCCGUGCCAGCAGCCGCGGUAAUACGGAAGGUCCGGGCGUUAUCCGGAUUUAUUGGGUUUAAAGGGAGCGUAGGCCGGAGAUUAAGCGUGUUGUGAAAUGUAGACGCUCAACGUCUGCACUGCAGCGCGAACUGGUUUCCUUGAGUACGCACAAAGUGGGCGGAAUUCGUGGUGUAGCGGUGAAAUGCUUAGAUAUCACGAAGAACUCCGAUUGCGAAGGCAGCUCACUGGAGCGCAACUGACGCUGAAGCUCGAAAGUGCGGGUAUCGAACAGGAUUAGAUACCCUGGUAGUCCGCACGGUAAACGAUGGAUGCCCGCUGUUGGUCUGAAUAGGUCAGCGGCCAAGCGAAAGCAUUAAGCAUCCCACCUGGGGAGUACGCCGGCAACGGUGAAACU
rnacentral:rRNA from 1 species